rnacentral:lncRNA from 1 species
UGGUUCUCCAAAACCAUAGGACGGUCAGCAUCACCGCUGAGGUGAGAAACAGUGGCUUCCUCCUCGAAGCUGGCGCUCAGCAUUGGAAUUGGCGCUGAGCGGUGGACCUUACUCUUCUUUUUCUUCUUUUCUCAUCCUUUCUUGAGUCUAAGUCCUCCCUUCUUCACUACCAUCCUUCAAUUCUCAUCAAAUCCUGCCAAAACAAUGUAAAAACAAGCAUAAUAUCUCUAAAAACCACUUUUGACCC